UACGGGAGGCAGCAGUGGGGAAUAUUGCACAAUGGGCGCAAGCCUGAUGCAGCCAUGCCGCGUGUAUGAAAAAGGCCUUCGGGUUGUAAAGUACUUUCAGUCGUGAGGAAGGUGUUAAGGUUAAUAACCUUAGCAAUUGACGUUAGCGACAGAAGAAGCACCGGCUAACUCCGUGCCAGCAGCCGCGGUAAUACGGAGGGUGCGAGCGUUAAUCGGAAUUACUGGGCGUAAAGGGCACGCAGGCGGUUAAUUAAGUUGGAUGUGAAUCCCCGGGCUUAACCUGGGAAUGGCAUUCAAGACUGGUUAGCUAGAGUCUUGUAGAGGGGGUAGAAUUCCAUGUGUAGCGGUGAAAUGCGUAGAGAUGUGGAGGAAUACCGGUGGCGAAGGCGGCCCCUGGACAAAGACUGACGCUCAUGUGCGAAAGCGUGGGGAGCAAACGAGGAUUAGAUACCCGU
rnacentral:rRNA from 1 species